rnacentral:rRNA from 1 species
GACGAACGCUGGCGGCGUGCUUAACACAUGCAAGUCGAACGGAAAGGCCCUGCUUUUGUGGGGUGCUCGAGUGGCGAACGGGUGAGUAACACGUGAGUAACCUGCCCUUGACUGUGGGAUAACUUCAGGAAACUGGGGCGAAUACCGGAUAGGAGCUCCUGCUGCAUGGGGGGGGUGGGAAAGUUUCGGCGGUUGGGGAUGGACUCGCGGCUUAUCAGCUUGUUGGUGGGGUAGUGGCUUACCAAGGCUUUGACGGGUAGCCGGCCUGAGAGGGUGACCGGCCACAUUGGGACUGAGAUACGGCCCAGACUCCUACGGGAGGCAGCAGUGGGGAAUAUUGCACAAUGGGCGGAAGCCUGAUGCAGCAACGCCGCGUGCGGGAUGACGGCCUUCGGGUUGUAAACCGCUUUAGCCUGUGACGAAGCGUGAGUGACGGUAAUGGGUAAAGAAGCACCGGCUAACUACGUG